UUUAAUGAUUGAGUAAACUCAAACUCAUAAUCAGAGAACUAAUCAAUUUAACUAUUAAUACUUCAGCCAUUUAUGACAGUGUAGCCGUCCACGAUAACAAUGGAACUGUCUAUAAUAACAAUGCGACAAUCCACAAUGAAGGUCGUCAUUCUGCAUGAUCACGUAGCAUGAAAAUUUAUCUUUGAAACCGUCAAAUUUUGUGUGUGUCUGUAUAUAUUAAAGACUUGAGCUUGGUGUCCCAUUCAAAUUUUGUCGAAAGAAAGAAAAAAACAGCAGUCGACAAUGGAGAUAGAGGAAGGGCAAGCCCAAGUAAUCCAAAAGUUCGUGAACAAAGCCUCAACUCUUGAAACCACCUCCUCUCUCGCCAACCUCAUCGUUGAAGCCACUUCUCACCCUUCUCUUUUCGCUUUUUCCGAGAUUUUAUCUCUCCCUAAUAUCCUCCAGCUUCAAGGAACUGAGGAUUCUGCUUAUAUUUUGCUUCGCUUAUUUGGUUAUGGAACCUGGCGUGAUUACAAAGGUAAUUCUGCUAUGCUGCCAAAGUUGUCACAGGAUCAAAUCCUCAAGCUCAAACAACUCACUGUGGUUACUCUUUCUGGGACCAAUAAGGUUCUCUCUUACAAUAAACUUCAAGAAGAACUUGAGGUUUCUAAUGUGCGUGAACUUGAAGACUUCCUUAAAAAUGACUGCAUGAUACGGGCAUAGUCAAAGGGAAGUUGAAUCAGUUGGGAAGAUGUCUUGAGAUUUAAUUAUUUACCCUGUGAAGAAUAAGUCAUUUGUUUGGCUUCAUCAAGUCUCUAAUAAAUGUUUUCGAUUUAAUGCUUGAUUCUCUGGGGUUAUUUCAUUUGUAGGUGCAAUUUGCAGCAGAGAGGGAUCUCAUGCAUGGGCAGCUUGGGAGUAUGAUAGAUACUUUGGGAAACUGGUUAGCCACUUCAGACAACGUGCUUUCCUUGAUUGAAGAAAAGAUUGACUGCGCUAGUAAAAUGUGUCAGUUGAACAUGGAUCACCAGCAGGAACUCCAAGGUAGAAUUGAUGAAGGAAAGAAAAAUAUCCAUUUUAAGGUGUAAGCUGAAUAUGCAUUCUACUUUGUGAGUUUUUCCUUGCUCUCCUGAUGUAAUUUGACUUCUAAAUUUCUGGCUAUCAGUGAUCCCUGUGGCAUUGGAGAAUCAACCAUGAAAAGUAAAAGAAACUUUGGUUAUGUUAAAUGUUUUAAGUUCAUCUCUUCAUAAGUUUUAAGCAGACACAUUUCAUUUUAUAUAAAAUACAACGAAGCAGUUCUUACCAUAAAAUUUCCAGAAUAUGUGAUGAGGAGGAAUUCGAGUGCUGUGAUUUGAGUAACCCUGAAUCUUGAGCUGUAUGUUCCUGCAAAUUAUUUCCAUUGAGAUAAUUUCUUAUUAACUGUUAUAUGGUCCCUUUUUUUCUUUUUGGUUGGCAGAAAUCACAGCACAAGCAGGACCUUUGUUUCUUGGAAUAUGGUGAUGGUUUUGACUUUCUUGGUGGACCAAUGGAACAUGAAGAGGAUCUCAUGCGAUCCAAGAGGUAAUCCAUCUUAAAGUUGUGUUCUAUAUAGUAUGCGAUUACUCAUUCAUUUCAGGCAAACAGUAAUUUCCAUUGAUAUUGUUGAAUAUAUGGAUGGGGAAUUAAGUUGAUUAACUAGGCAACUAAGCAAGUUAUUUUUGUAUGAACUGUAACCUAUUCAUGCAUCUGAGCCUCAGAAAACCCAGUUUUCUCGUCCUCUUGUGGCUGAAACAUGACAAAGUAAGCUGGCUGUCUUUCUUCAUCAGCUUGAUCCUUGACAUUGGUGGAUGUGAAAUAUGUGCAAUUAAUGAAACAAAAGUGGCACCAUGGCCUUGUUUCUCAAUUAAACCUUUCUGAUUUCAUCUGAUACGAAUUCACCAUCUUAGUGAAGUUCAUUGAUAUGUCUUAUCAAAAAGAAGAAAUGCAGCGGUUAAUCACCAUCUUCUACAUGUUCUUCACCAUUCAUCAGGUUUAAUUCACAUAGAUUGCAUGUUUUCCAUUCUCUGUCUUAUGAUUCAAUCUUGUUAAUUUCCAAAUCGCAGGAGCUGGUCACCGCGCACAGUUACAGGCGAAGAAGGUCGUUGUGCCCUUGAUGUGUCUCCUGGUGGUAAACCAAGUUGCUCAUGGCAUAUUAGAAUCAGGAAUUAUCCAGCUAGAAUCAGGAAUUUGUCACCAUUUUCUCUCUUUUUAAAAAAAAAAUGAAGUCUCAGGGGGGAAAUUAUUCAAAUUUAGUGCAGAUUCGUAUCCUUAUCUCAAAGCAAGGAUGUUGGUUUUUACUGUCUUUCUGCAUGCAUGUCAAUAUAUUUCUAAAACCAGCAGCUGAUAUUUCAAAACCAAAGCAAUUGAUUAUGUUUACACAGAUUUCUCGCAUCUCCAUGAUGCCUCCGUUGGUCGGGCAUUGGGAUUCUGCUGGUACAACAGUAUAAUAGUCUCUUCAGUCUUGUGCUCGUGGUUGUGAUCUAUCUUACCCUUGGAUCUUGGUUAUCUUCCAUGGAUAGUCUUAGAUUUGAGAAGCCAGACAUGUCUGCUUUAAAAUGUUCCCAUUUUGUUUGUGGUAAUUUGACCGCAAAUCAACAAUGACAGAAGUAGAAAAUUAUGAGUUGAAUAAUAAUGAUGAAGAUGAUGAUGAUGUUCGUUACCAUGAUUGAAAUGACUAUCAACAAAUAAAAUUAAUAACCAAAAGAGUUAAGACUAGAAAUAUCCAAAAAUAGAAUGAAAUGUUUCCAUUUUCCGUUGGAAGAGAUUUUACAUCAAAAUCACAAAAUUCCAAAACUCUAU